rnacentral:rRNA from 1 species
UACAGAGGGGGCAAGCGUUGUUCGGAAUUACUGGGCGUAAAGGGCGCGUAGGCGGCCUUCUAAGUCGAACGUGAAAUCCCCGGGCUCAACCCGGGAACUGCGUCCGAUACUGGAAGGCUUGAAUCCGGGAGAGGGAUGCGGAAUUCCAGGUGUAGCGGUGAAAUGCGUAGAUAUCAGGAGGAACACCGGUGGCGAAGGCGGGUCUCUGGGCCGUAACUGACGCUGAGGAGCGAAAGCAUGGGGAGCGAACAGG